CUUUAGUUCUAGUUCCAGAAUAAGUAUAAGGGGUUUUACACGAAAUGUAGUUUUGUUCCAGAAGCCUCUGGGACCAGGGCAGAGCAGCCAGCAGGGGCUCUCCGGACGCUGCUCACCGGUCAGGGCAGAGGCACGUGGACACAAACCCACCGAACCUCGGCCCUGUAAAUGCUCUCGCCAGCAACCCACCAGCCCGCAGCUUUCCGCUCCGGAGGACCGGUUCGUUUCCGGCCAAGUUCAGAAGCUGGUGGCCGAAGAGGGUGCCGCGCGGGACCGCGGAGGAGCCAGCCGGGGUCCGGAGCAGGCGGCGGGCCCCGGCUUCCCGCCCGGCGGCGCCCGGGGAGCGGAGGCUCGCAGGCGGGGAUGGGGAUGGCCUGGGGACACGGGGGUGUGGAUGACCAUCGCGCACGGGGCAGCUGUACCCGCAAGGGUGAAGGCGGGGAAGCAGCGAUUUCUUAUAGAGGCAAGUUUGGGCAGAACGCCGUCUAGGCCAUUUUGCACGCGCGCUCCAGUCCAGCACAGCACCUGACACGCAAUGGGCCUUCACAACUGUUUGCUGCUGGAUGCAAAUACGGUAAUAGUUUCCCUUUAAGGCCAAGAAAGGGGCCCGUCCGCGGGUUGGAGGGAGGGGGGCGUCCUUCUGCCCGCGGCCCCCGCCCCCACCCACUCCCGGCCAGCUGCUGCGGCCGCCCCUCCCCCCCUGCCCCGCAGCCGCUCGGUCUGAGUAACCCGACGCCUGGGCCCGCUCCCCCGCCCGACCCAGGGCUCGGCGGCCAAUGGCCGUGGCCCGAGCCUCCGCCGGGAGCCGCGGGGGCCCUCCCGGCGCCACCCGGCCGGGCUGGGGCACCGGUUAAGAGCCGGCCUCCAGCUCCUGCUCCUGCUCUCCGUGCCCUGCGUGAGCCGCCGUCGGCCAGGCCCAGCCCAGACACGCCCGCGCCCUGCCCCGAGGCUGUGCCAGGGGACUGGGCGAUGGGUGCAGACCGGGCACUGAGAGGGCCAAGGCGGGAACUAUCCCCAGCCCGGGGAGCCAGGGCACUUGAGUUCUGGGGCGCUUGACAGGCUGAGAGACCUUGGACAGUCGCGGAAUCGUCUGUGGUUGAGAGCAGACCCUGUCCACCUUGAGUGGGGCUUGUGAGGGCCCAAGCCGGCAAAGGCCGCAAGUCCUCCUGAAGUAGCCAGUGUGUGCGUGUGCUCAGUCGCUCUGUCAAGCCGACUCUGCGACCCCAUGGACUGUAGCUCGCCAAGAUCCUUGUCCAUGGAAUUUUCCAGGCAAGAAUACUGGAGUGGGUUGCCAUUUCCUUCUUCAGGGGAUCUUCCCCACCCAGGGAUCAAACCCACAUCUCUUAAGUCUCCCGCAUUGGAAGGCGGAUUCUUUACCCCUGUGCUGCCUGGCAUUAGCCAGAGGCCAGGCGAAACCCAAGUCACUGGGACCAGUCAUCACCGGCCCUGUCUACAGCUUCUCCUCCCCACCAUCCGGGUCCCACCGCCCACCAUCCUGGGAAUUCCCUAGGUUCAAGGGGAAGAGCCUGACACAACUUUCCUGAACACCUCAGUCUGGGCAGCUCCUCACUCCCAAGGCAGAGGUGGGCUGAUGGGGUUAGCAACCCCCUCCCCACUCCCUCCACCAACCCCGGAGGAAGGGAGCAGGAAAUACAUGCUGGGCUGGAAGGGUGAGCACAGGCAGGGCACCUUUCCAACUACCUAGUUUAUCUCCAGGGCACUUACUAGAGUGGAAAAAGUAUAAAGAAGAAACUGACCAACAAUACCUUUUUCCUCCUCCAAUGGUUACAACUACACACUCCCCACAAUUUGCCGCCGUAGGCUACAAAUACUUGAGUAUUUAUCUGUGUGCACUACAGAUCCCCGUACCUUAAGAAAAGCAAAGGAGAGCUCAGGAAAUACACUGUAGUCUGAAAGAAACAGAAGAGAAGAGAUCUUUGUCAAGGAUGCAUAAUUUUAACAUUCACAGCUCUCCUACACCGGAGCAGGGUCUGGGUCGAGUAUGGUGAUGAGGACACAUCUGGGUCCCUUGAAUCUUCGGUCUAUGCCAGGUCCCAAACAGGCUCCCAAAUAGGUUCUGGAACCUGCAACCUUGACUCACACCCUUUCCCACCCCCGCACUGGACUGGCAACCUUCAGGCACCUUGCCUGGGGCUCAGGGUCACAUGCUACACGGCUCGGCUCUCUCUUCCCUGGCAGUUGGACUCCAGGGUCUGACACCCCAUCAGGUCCUCUGCCCCAGGUGAAUCCAAAGGCAGGAUGUGGCAUUUCAGGGAGCCUGAGAGGGAGUCCAAAAGCAGGGAGGGGGAGAGUGCCCCCCAGCCCAGGCCUGGUGUUCUGCAGGCUUCCUGAAAUUCAUUUGCUUCUAGACCUCUUCAGCCUUGCCAAGUUCUGUGUGAAAGAUCAGAACAGCUGGAAAUUUCUAGCGGGAGAGUGCCAGGUGCUGAAUAGGUCCCAGUCUGACUUAGAAACAGUGAGGGGCCAGGGCUGUUUGGGGUUGGCACUCUUCCCUUUGCCAGACGGGCAGGAACUGCUUGCUCUUGGAAGGCAUGCCACCCCCAAGCCUGGGCCAAAGCCGCUGUAAACCCCGGACACCAGGCUGGGGACAGAAACUAGGAGCCUCCUCCCUCCUAAGCCCCAGGAUGACGACACAAAGGGCCUCCUCUGCUGGCCAAGCAGAAGGGGAUGGGCUGACUGGGGAGGGCCGAACCGUCACCCAGUCAAAGCCAGGCAGCUGCAAAUGAAACACAGGCCUAGGAAGGCUCCGACAGGCACUCAGUCUUUCCCAGAGCCAAAAAAUCCUGGCUAGAGACUUGACUACAGAGCAAGGCAAGGCACUGGGAAAUACUUGAAACCAGGCACGACCCCUGGUACUGUUGGACUCCUGACAACAACAGGCGGAGCCAAAUGCUUUUUCCCCACCUGGCCCAGACACAAAAAUUAAGCUGCCCAGAGGGGACCCAGGGGAGGUGGCAGAGGAGCCAGGGAGGGACCCAGCAGGAAAAGGGAAGCUGGCAGUAAGGUCGUUUUUACCCUGCUCAGAGAGCAGAGCUCUCACACAGCAAGUCUGCAGAGGGGAGAGUUCCUGCUUGGCUUGACAAAAGGCCAGGUCACUCAGGCCCUCUGGAGCCUCUCGCAAGCCACUCUGGGAUGUACAUGGUGGCUAGGCCACAGGGGUUACCUUCUGUUUGAAGAAGGGUAGGUGGUAGGGGUAGCUGCUGAGGGAGGCCGGCACCCCGCCCCCAACCCCAGGCUGUGACAAGCUUGACCUUCACUCUCAGGACUACCUCAGUCCUUCCAUGGCAGGCUCUGCUUGCUUUAUUUAUUUGCCAUGCCAUGCAGCUUGCAGGAUCUUAGUUUCCUGACCGGGGAUUGAACCUGGGCCCUUGUCAGUGAAAGCACCAAGUUCUACCACAAGGGAAUUCCCAUCAGCCUGCUUUAAUUUUUUUUUUUCUAAGAUUUUGUUUUUUGACAUGGACCAUUAUUAAAAUCUUUAUUGAAUUUGUUAUAAUGUUGCUUCUGUUUUACAUUUUGGUCUUUUGGCCAGGAGGCUUGUGGGAUCUUAGCUCUUCAACCAGGGAUCAAGCUUGCACCCUCUGCAUCAGAAGGUGGUGUCUUAACCUUUGGACAGCCAGGGAAGUCCCCAGGCUGCCUUAUUUUAAAUGCACCUGCACGGUAGCAUAUUAUGGAUAACAUUUAUAAACCCACUAAGGAAUGUUCUUUUAUUCAUAUUUCUCCUGAUAUGUGAAAGGAGGGUUACUUUUUAAAAGUUCCAAAAUUAAACAGGAAAAGAGACAUCAUGUGUUGAGGAUGGAUUGGGAAUCUUAAUUUUCUUUAUCCUUUGCUGGAUCUUGAAAGAAAAAAAAAAAAGAAUAGAAAGACACAUACCACUGCACAAGGCUUCUUUAAAAAAAAAAAGCUUUCUGAAUUUAAAACUAGAGCAUGCUCUAUAAAAAGAAAUUCAGACAAAAAAUAUAAAGAGCAAAAAAUCACCUAUUAAUCCCACUACCCACUGAUAGCCCUGACAUCAUUAUUGUGUAUUUUUCCCACACUAUUUUCUAUGCAUGCAGAUCCAUGUUUUUACAUGAGAUAUAAUUAUUAACAUCAGAGUGUCGUCUUCUUCCUGCCCCUGUCCACUGACGAACAUUCUAAACUUGCCUGUUUGGUUUCUCUUCACUUCACUCUUCCACAGAGAGGAAGAAUGAUCACUUGCUGAGAAAAGCUAAACUGAUCUACAUAAUAAAGGAAUGCAGUGAGAUGGGAUGAGGUCCA
rnacentral:lncRNA from 1 species